GACGAACGCUGGCGGCGUGCUUAACACAUGCAAGUCGAACGCUGAAGCUCAGCUUUUGUUGGGUGGAUGAGUGGCGAACGGGUGAGUAACACGUGAGUAACCUGCCCCCUUCUUUGGGAUAACGCCCGGAAACGGGUGCUAAUACUGGAUAUUCACUGGUCUUCGCAUGGGGGUUGGUGGAAAGGGUUUUUCUGGUGGGGGAUGGGCUCGCGGCCUAUCAGCUUGUUGGUGGGGUGAUGGCCUACCAAGGGUUUGACGGGUAGCCGGCCUGAGGGGGUGACCGGUCACAUUGGGACUGAGAUACGGCCCAGACUACUACGGGAGGCAGCAGUGGGGAAUAUUGCACAAUGGGCGCAAGCCUGAUGCAGCGACGCCGCGUGAGGGAUGGAGGCCUUCGGGUUGUGAACCUCUUUCGCUCAUGGUCAAGCCGCAACAAUGGUUGUGGUGAGGGUAGUGGGUAAAGAAGCGCCGGCUAACUACGUG
rnacentral:rRNA from 1 species